rnacentral:misc_RNA from 1 species
AGAAACUAAUUCUCACUAAUGGCAAUUUGUCUACUGCUAGCAUUGAUGUCCUGCAUUGGUAGAUCGGACAGUGUUCUAGAGUGAGGAAGGCUUCCACACAUUAGAUUCCCCUUUUUAAGCAUUGGUAGAUCAAAGGUCACAGCUGUUUCCCCACCAAAUCCAGUUGGUGGGGAGGCUUUUUGGCAGAACAAACUGAUACUUUUUGAGUGGAAAAUCCUUCUUGGAGACAAGUUUACUUGCUCCAAAGCUUGGAACUGGAGCCCUGAGGGAUAGUCCCUAACACAGCCUAUACGUGGCCCUGCUCCUGUUGUCCAUUUGCAAGACAACUGUCUACCCAACUGAAAUGACUUUGUUCCCUUCUUUGAAUUAAUCCUU